UAUUUAAAGGGCCCAGAGGUACUCCCUGGGCGAUACCAUUCGGGAAGGAACUGGAGAGGGACUAUGGCGCCAUGGCUCCAGAAUUAAGGGCAGGGUUCCGGCAAGGAUCCCUAAACUCUUGCAGAGUCUGUUUACAGAAAUCGUAGGUUUCCUCAGGCUUCUGUCGUGAAGGCUGAAGAAGGCUCGGACUGAAAGCCAUUUGGACACGAGAAAAUAAGCUCCCCCAUGCUCAGUGGUGUUUACCAGCUAGGGUGAAAUGGAAUAACUCCAACCAAGAGCACAAACUUCUUGUGUACGCUUGCGGCAAUAAUACAAAAACACUAGAUUGCCCACCUUCACACUGGCCACACACACCGGGCCAAGCGAGCCAACAACGUUCCAAACCGGCUGUCCCACGCACAUCAGCAGUCAACCGCGUCAUCCACACGUGUCAACAAGUUCUUGUAAACACGGGUCCUGAUUUGCCCCUUAAAUUGGAAGAUUGGCUUCUGGGAGCCACACCUGCCCAAGCUUUCUGAAGGUUUCGCCUGUGCGCAAAGAUAAAGGGUUUUACUUCUUCUAAGGGUUCGUUGGCAGCGCUUAUCUUGGGGAGAAGUUUCAGCCAGGGUUAAUGUAAAUAAGUGUUGGGAGGGGCUCUUGUGUGGUCAGGUUUACUAAGCAUAACUUCUUGUGAGCUUGCUUCUGAGCAUAAAGAAAAGAACCACUAUUUUGCCAGGUGCAAAUUGGUAUUACUUGUGGGUAGCUUCAUACAAAAAAAAAGUAAAUUAAUUUCGUAUAAGCUGAAAUAUUUCUGUUCAGGACUAAAAUAUUGGCUUGUGGAGGCAAAUUGUCCACCAUUCUUCUAGAAAGAAGAAAACUAAAAGCAGACAAUAGUUUAAAGCAAGAUAGAAAUAAAAUUGUACAACGUGGGCUGGUCUGAGGUUAUAACCCACUCCCUAGCAUUUGCCUACCCAGGCAAUGUUGUUCAGUGGGAUAAGAAUGGAACUAAAGCAGUCUUAGAUGCUCAGUAAUAGCUACUGAAACUAGUUGGCAAGUUAUUUUGAAUAAACCUACCUAGCGAUUUGUA